UCCCAUGCCAGCAACCAUCUGCCACCCCUACACUUGGCACUCUCUCGUGCGAGGAGCUCCUGCUCUCUGCUCGCCAAAGCUGCACACUGGGCCCAGCCUGCCUGCUCCCCUCGCUCGCAGCCUCAGGAAAAGCAGCUUUGGCCCUGCCCACCCCUAUCUGCUCCUGUCCUCGUUGCCACUGUCUUCUUUGACCACUCUGAGCACUAUUGUAGUUCUGUUUGGACCUGCUGCUGCCGCCGGGAGAACACUUGGGGUGCUUUCCCCGCCCACCACGGGACAGAUAGAAUCUCUGGAAUCCUUUAACAGUUUACCCCGACAAGGUCUCAAAAGAUAUGAAUGCAGUUUCAAGAGUCUGCCCUGAUUGUGAUAUGAUAACCACUGAGAAACACAGUGGACAAAACUGGAGACCCUCAGAGUCAAAGAUUUGUCUAAAUCAAGGCUACAGGAAACCCACUCAGACCUACCUCUCAUGGACCAAAUAGACUCCACCCAGAUAAGUACAUCUGUCCAAAGUUCCCACUUACUACCUAUUCCAAAGGGUGGGAUUCCUCUGGGUUUCAAAUGUACAUCUAAGGAAAAAAAAUGUUUUCUCCCCAACGUACUUAACCUUAUUCUCUACCUGUAAUAAACAUAUGUGUGUGCCAGCAUCUUAUCAAGUCCAGGCGCUUACUACACCAGGACAGCUCCAGAGAAGCGACCUCCAGAUGCUCUAACCUCCUCUCACAGACACAGAUGUUUCUACUGGGCUUCUUCCUUCUGACCUAUCCUCAGGUGGUCCCAUAGACCCUGGACAACAAGGAAACAGCCAACUCUUAAGACUGGACCAACACUCUUUCUUCUGCUCUUCCAUUCUUCCUCUCUCUCUCUCUCUCUCUCUCUCUCUCUCUCUCUCUCUCUCUCUCUCUCCCUCCCUCUCCUGGCUUGACACAAUUAAAAAAAAAAAAAAAAAAAGACUGGACCAACAUCCCAUACCCACAUUUCUAGGUUCCCUAGAGACACGUCACCCUGAAGCAAGCAGGAAGCAGUCAGAGAUCACGACGACCUGCUCCAUCACUCCUUCCAAAUUUUUCUUUUUUAAUUAAACCAAAACAGGGGAAUGUUAGCAUUCUGUCUAAGCUCUGCCCCACAGUUACCUGGCAACAGCGAGGUAUGCCUGACACUAUGAAAGGGGCUGCUUGCCCCUGCUCUCUCUUGUUCUCUAAGUGCUCUUGCCUUCCUGACCCUACUCUGUCCUCCUGUUCUCCUUCCUCCCCCUCUCUCCACGUGCUCAUGGCCAGCCUCUACUUCUCUAAUCUCUCUCUCUCUCUCUCUCUCUCUCUCUCUCUCUCUCUCUCUCUCUGUCUCUACUGCCCUCUUGACUCCCCUCCUCAUGCUCUGAAUAAACUCUAUUCUGUACUACACCACUGACUGGCUGGUCUCUCAGGGGGAAGGGAUGCCUCAGCAUGAGUUCUCAGAGGUACCCCCUCCCCCCACACCUCCAUAGAGCAUAUCUCCCCUCUCUUUAUCUUUUUUUUUGGUUCUUUUUUUCGGAGCUGGGGACCAAACCCAGGGCCUUGCGCUUCCUAGGCAAGCGCUCUACCACUGAGCUAAAUCCCCAACCCCCUCUUUAUCUUUUUAUAAACACAUCAUUGGUCAUGGUGUCUCUUCCGAGUAAUAGAACCCUAACUAAGGCAGGAGAAUUUGCUGCUCUUUCAGAGAGCUGAGUUCAGUCCUCAGAACUCGCCCUGAGCAUCUCGCAAAUCCCACAACAGCCUGGAACCCUAAGUCUGGGAACCCAAAGCUCUAGUCUCCGCAGACACCUGCAGACACGUGACACAGCCACCCACGGACUCGUGUGCACAUAAAUAAAAAGUCAUAAAUCUUUAAAAAUGAAACUGGCUUGGUAGGGCUGAGUCUGUGUCUUGGUCAGCGGAGUGCUUGCCCAGCACACAGAAAGCUGCAGGUUUGAUGCCCGGUGUGUAGUGUGUGGGGAGGGGGGCGGGGGGAACGAUGAUGAGGUUAUGCCUUUUAUCCCUGCACUUGGAGGUAGAGGCAGACGGAUCCAGAACUAAAGGCCAUCCUUAGCUACAGAGAGGUCAGUGUCAGCCUGGAUUUCAUGAGACUGUCUCCACAGCAGUUUAACAUUUUUAGAGAUGUUGGGUGUUUUUUGUCUCGUUCCUUUUAAAAGGGGGACAUGUCCAAGCUUGCUAGGAACAGGCUUUGUGAGGCAUGGUAUUGAGAACAACAGGAAAUGACCCAGCAAAUUCUCCUUAGCAACCACACAGGAGGUCCACCUCUGCUCACAAGCUGACAGGGAGGUGAGGCAAGUCGGGGUGUGGGAAGAGGUUGGUAGGAGGGAGCUGGGCCAAAUGGCAGCCUGCAGCACUGACCCAGUGCAGGCUGGAAAGAAGGGGAGACCAAGAGUACUGGGAGUUCACUCUGCCUUUGUAAAUUCUGUAGCCCAGAGAGAAAGAAAUGCAAAUCAGAAACAACUAGGGCGAUGAGAAUCUGAGAGACUGAGAGGCUGAGAGGAGAUAGGCAGGGGAGAAGCAGUGAGGGGAAGCCUCCAGAGGCAGCCCCUUCCCUCUCCUACCCCUGCUGGGCUAGACUGGUGCUAGUGUUGUCGUCAGCAUGGGGCACCAGGAGGGUGUUAAAGGGCAAGCAUAGCCAUUUUGGAGCCUUCAGUGUGAGAGUCCCUUCUGUCACUGUUCUGCUCCGAUGGUGCUGAUGAUGGGGCCCUCUCACAGGUGGGCCAAAUGCUCUACCACUGAGCCAUACUCUCAAGUUCCGCUAACUUUAUUUUACUUGUUUAUUUGGAAACAUCAUCUCCUGAUACUUCCUAGGCUGGCCUUGAAAUCCUGGCUCAAGCGAUGCUCUUCUUACAGAGGACCCAGGUUCUGUUCCCAGGACCUCACCUGGCAGUCAGUCCAUUGGUAACUCCACUUCCAAGUGACUCUGACACCCUCAACUGGCCUCCGCAGACACUGCACACGUGUGGUUCGUUGACAUGCAUGCAGACCAACACCCAAUCGUAUAAAAUAACGUUACACAAAUCUGGUUUAGAAAUCGACUAGGACAACUGGCUUGGUGGUAUGCGGAGAGCAGGGGUACUCACAGAUUAACCCUGGAAGAACCAGGGAUGUUAAUCCCACAGAGCUGUCUCCUCAGUGGAGGAUUUGCAGACCUGUUUUCCACUCAGAAGGCUGUGAGUAGAUGUGGGUAAUAACCUGGUGAGCUUCUUUAUGCCAGCCAGACUUCUCCCCUCCCCAGACCUGUCUUUAACAGAACCCAUCAGUAGGGGAAAUGUCACCUGCACUUUAUAGCCCACUGUCUUUAUGCUAUCUCAGUCAGAGACCAAACCAGAUCCUAGACCCUUAAGCUGUAGAACCCACAUUCAUGGUAGAGGUCACAUAUCCCUUGCCAAAGAGUUUCCAUGUGGUCACACUUUAUUAUAUGAACAUGGGAUUGAGAUAAUAGUUACCAGGAAAAGCAUAAUGUUUGCAAACUUAUACUGUACUUAAACACAUGAAGCACAGGUAUCCGUCCACAUCACUACAUAAUCUGGGCAUGGUGACACACACCCGUUAUCCUAUCACUUGGGAGGGAGACAUAGCAGGGUCACAAAUUCAACAUUGUCGUCAGCUACACAAUGAGUUCAAGUCCAGCCUGGGCUAAAUGAGACCUCAUCUCUGAAAACAAACAAACAUUUUGAAUUUUGAGACCCAACACUAAGGCAGCAAACAGAAGGCAAGGGGUGGCGUGGCUUUCCAGGUGAACACAGACGCUUACCUCGAACGCCAAGCCGUGCUUCUGGCAGAAGCUCUGAACCUCUGGGUAGGCUGUGCACUGCAGGGCUUCUCGCUCUGUGUCCAUAUCUGCAAGGUACAGUCAGGAGGGUGUCAGAGAGAAGAUUCCAGAAGUCUGACCAGCCCACUGCUGUGCUCAAAAGACCAGACCCCUGCAAGAUGGGAAUCCUCCUAAAUCUCACAGGAGGAGGUGAGGGGGAGGGGAAGAGGAGUGAGAGGGGAAGGGGGAGGAAGAGGAGGAGGACAAGAAAGAUGGGGCCAGCAAGACAGCUCAGCAGUAAAGGAACACGAAUGAACACACUCUUCUUGAAUGUUGCCUUCUGACCUCCACACACAUGUGCUGUCCUGCUACACACACAACUCUCUCCACAGAAAGACCACACACGAAUGAAAUAUCAAAAUGACAUGGAGUCAAACCAAAGAAACCAACGGUUCCACAUCAGCGGAGUCGCCUGUGUGAGCUCCGCAGUAUCACAACCCAAGCCGCCCCAGCCCCAGCCCAGGAGAACGAUCCCAGUGUGGUGUGUGGGGCAGGGAACACUGGGAGAUGGAGCCUCUGGCCCCAGCGUGCAGGAGGCGUUUCCGAUGCUUUCCAGCCCCAUGCAGUUGUGUAAAUUCUCACUGUGUCCUCCUUAUCCGAGGGAGACGUGAUUCAGUCACAGUGGGCUCAUAAGCUCUUGGACCAAAACCGGGGAUGCCCUGGGUUUCAUCCCUUGCACCGCAACAAAACAAGAGAAUGCACCAAACACGGCCAGGACAAUCAGCAGAUCACAAGCCAGAUAAACAAGGAGGGUCACGGACGAAUACAGGCUGAUCCAUUCCAGGCUCUGUUUGUAACACAUAACAGGAUUAGUCCCAGUUCCUCUGAAAUAGAGUGAACCAGGUACGUUUUCGGUGCUGUGUGUUUUGCUGUGCUGACACAGAACUCACAGGUGAGGCAGGGACUACACCUGUGAGCCACGCCCCAGCCCUGCACAGGGGGAUUCUAGGCAGGGGGUCUACCCCUGAGCCACGCCCCCAGCCUUUCAUUGGGCGAUUCUAGGCAGGUCCACCACAACCCGAAGUCACUGACUCAAAAUACCUAUUCAGAGUCGGACUUGGGAGCUGCCCAGGAUGGCUGUCUGGAUCCUAUCUCCAGAACAAAAACAUCAAAUAAAUAAACAGCAACAACAACAAAAAUCUUUUCUAAAGGAAAUGCUGCUUGGGUGGGAGGUUAGCAGUGUGGCACAGUGGGAGAGCAUUUGGGGGGACAGACAUAAGGGCCCUCGUCUUUAGACAAGUUAUCAUCGCAGUACCUGUUAAGUGUAUGUGAAACGCUAGGGUCUGCGUCCAGCAACUUCCAAGCACACACAGGCAAAACAGAAAGAGCAGAGCACCCAGGCCGUUUCUUGUGACCACCGGCUGCAGUAGCAGGCUAUUCCCGCAGUUGUGUUCAACAGUUUACUCGAUGUGAUGGAGAGUCCAGGAGGAGCUCUGACAAGGAUUCCAAUGUGGGUCACCAGCCCGUGUCUUCUCACACGCGUCUUUUGGAGGACACCCUGAGGCAUCCCUACUACCGUCAAGAGUGGCGGCUUGUCUCGAGCCACCGCCCCACCCUUACCUGAGACAGUAGAGCUGAUGAAAAUUACCACAGCGUUGCUGGAAGAGGGUGCUGGCAGAGAGCCCAUCUGACCCUGGAGAAGCCGCUGGCGAGUGCCAGGGCUGAGGGGUCCCACAUCCAUGCUUCCCAUCCGCCUGGAUAAUUCUUCCCCAGGAAAGGUCCUGAGACCCAUGCACCUCACAGGAACACCUGAGGAACCCUCCCGGGAGGCUGGCCAGGUGUGGCCACCUGUGAGAGCGGACGUAUCUCGUGCUCUAGGUCCCUUGGUUACUUGCUGCCUUGGUCACCCCCGGCACUCCUGCAAAGAUGCCCAGGUGCUUGUGUCAGCAAGGGCUAACAGGCUGUGGAACAGAGGCUUUCCCCAUGUCUCUGGAUAUUGUUGCCUCCUUCAGGCAUCAGAGCUUCUCAAGGAAGCUUCAGUGAUCACCAUAGCAACUGUGGUUCAUAGCACAGGGUGCUGGAGCCCAGGGACCAGACAAUCUUUCUAAUACCUGGCUUCCCUGAGGACUCUAUGUAAAUUGAGCCUGAGCCCAGGUAUGCAGAGGGAGUCCAAGGAAGGGAUGCUGGGAGCCUUGAGUAGUUCUCUCUCUCUCUCUCUCUCUCUCUCUCUCUCUCUCUCUCUCUCUCUCUCUCUCUCUCCCUCUCUCUGCCUCUGUCAUAAACCAGUAUUCAGGCACAGUGAAGGUUUUACAACAUAGUUGUCUCUUGGAGCACUAUAUAUGCUGACCCAGAACACAUCGAUGUCUGCAGACCUCAGGCGUAGGGAACCGCGACUAGGGGUGCCAGGAACAUCGAGUGAGUGGAGGGCUUGGUGAAAGGCUUAGGGGUGAAGCUGCUGCCUAGUGUCCCCCAGUGAGGGGCAAGGGACAUGACUUAGGGGUGGAGCCACCCCCUAAAAUCCCCCAGUGACCGGUGGUAUGGAUGGCUCAGAUGUGGUCUAGUUUCUAGCGUGCACAAAAUCCUAGAUCAGUUGCUCUUAACCUAUGGGCCAUGACUCCCUUGGCAGACAAAAGACAGCUUCACAGGGAUUGUCUAACAUCAUCAGAAAAGACAGAUAUUUAUGUCAUGAUUCAUAACAGCAGUGAAAGUAGUUAUAGAGCAGCAAUGGAAAUAAUUUUAUGGCUGGGGAUCACCACAACAUAAAGAACUGUAUUAAAGAGUUACAGCCUCAGGAAGGUUGAGAACCACUGCCCUAGACUGACUCUCAGUGAAGAUGUGGGUAAUUGGGAAGGAGAAUGGGGAGGGAAAGAGGGAGGAAACCUCCCUGGCUGUGUCUGACGCUCCCCACUUCUCAGUCUUCUCGACUCCAGUGGCAGACACAGAACGAACCUGUGUUUCAUCUCACGCAGCAUAAGCACUGGCUCCUGCAUUGUCUUCUUGGAGCAUGGAAGCCUCAAGCCUCCUGGUUCAGGCAUCAGCUUUAUCUUCUGAGAAUUGAGAGCAAAAGCCCCUCGGGAAUCCCUGCCCCACACGAAAUUGUCAGGCAGCAUCAUGGGUCAACAGGAGAAUGAAGGUGUUAGCACAUGAAAGGAAUAUGAACUAGGCACUGAGGACACACAGAGUGCGGGGGGCCGGGCAGAUACAUAUAUAAAUAUAUACACUAUAUUAUGUCAUAUAUGUAACAUGAAACAUUAAUAUGUUAAAGGAAUAGCUUGGUGGUGCAUACCUGCGACCCCAGCACUCUGGAGGGUGAGGCAAAAAGGUUAUGAGUCACACGUCAGCCUAGGUUGUAGCAACACCCUAUCUGAGGAGGCUGGAGAGAAGCACUGGUUACUCUUCCAGAAGAUCCAGGCUCAGUUCCAGGACCCACAUGGUACCUCACAACCACUUGUAACUCCAAUGUUAGGAAUCCAGCCUCUUCUGGCUGGAGGGUGCACUUCACACACAUGGUACACAGACCAGAAGUCUCGGCACUCAAGAGGCAGAGGCAGGUGGAUCUCUAUGAGUCCAAGACCAGCCUGGUCUAUAAAGUGAGUUCCAGGACAGCCAAGGUUGCACAGAGAGACCCUGUCCCAAAAAACUAAAAAUAAAGUCAAAAGUUAAAAAGCAGAACAGAACCAAACCACAAGGCUGGCAAGAUGGAUCAGAGGGCAAAGGAGCUUGCAGCUAAGCCCCAUGAGUUGAGUUGAUCCCAGGACCAUACAGUGCAGUCCACACACAGGUUGUGUCACACUCAUACACACAAGACCGCCUCAUACUCAGCGUGCGAACAUGUAUCUUUUUUUUUUUUUUUUUUGGUUCUUUUUUUCGGAGCUGGGGACCGAACCCAGGGCCUUGUGCUUCCUAGGUAAGCGCUCUACCACUGAGCUAAAUCCCCAGCUCCGCGAACAUGUAUCCUUGAUGAUCGCUUCCAGAUAUUUAAAGGAGGCUCAAGACAUUUUGGUCUUGAUCUUUGCCCCAAGACCCCAGGUCUUUUUUUUUUUUUUCUUUUUUUCGGAGCUGGGGACCGAA